rnacentral:rRNA from 1 species
GAUGAACGCUAGCUACAGGCUUAACACAUGCAAGUCGAGGGACCGGCGCACGGGAGAGUAACACGUAUCCAACCUGCCCUUUACUCGGGGAUAGCCUUUCGAAAGAAAGAUUAAUACCCGAUAUAAAGGCUGGGGAUGCGUUCCAUUAGGUUGUGGGUAAGGGAACGGCCAACCAAGCCUUCGAUGGAUAGGGGUUCGGAGAGGAAGGCCCCCCACAUUGGAACUGCGGCACGGUCCAAACUCCUACGGGAGGGAGCAGUGAGUAAUAUUGGUCAAUGGGCGUUAGCCUGAACCAGCCACGUAGCGUGAAGGAUGAAGGGUUAUGGGUCGUAAACUUCUUUUAUAUAAGAAUAUGUAUUAUAUGAAUAAGGAUCGGCUAACUCCGUGCCAGCAGCCGCGGUAAUAC